rnacentral:rRNA from 1 species
CCUACGGGUGGCAGCAGUGGGGAAUAUUGCACAAUGGGGGAAACCCUGAUGCAGCGACGCCGCGUGAGUGAAGAAGCGUUUCGGCGCGUAAAGCUCUGUCAGCGGGGAAGAAACACGGUUCGCGAGAGCCGCGGACGGUACCCGACCAAGAAGCCCCGGCUAACUACGUGCCAGCAGCCGCGGUAAUACGUAGGAUGCGAGCGUUAUCCGGAUUUAUUGGGUUUAAAGGGUGCGCAGGCGGGCUGUUAAGCCGGCGGUAAACACUCAGGGCUCAACCCGGUCGUGCCGUCGGAACUGGCAGUCUUGAGUGGGCGAAAAGUAUGCGGAAUGCGUGGUGUAGCGGUGAAAUGCAUAGAUAUCACGCAGAACGCCGAUUGCGAAGGCAGCAUACCGGAGCCCAACUGACGCUGAGGCACGAAAGCGUGGGGAUCGAACAGGAUUAGAUACCCUUGUAGUC